rnacentral:rRNA from 1 species
GUGGGGAAUCUUGCGCAAUGGGCGAAAGCCUGACGCAGCCAUGCCGCGUGAAUGAUGAAGGUCUUAGGAUUGUAAAAUUCUUUCACCGGGGACGAUAAUGACGGUACCCGGAGAAGAAGCCCCGGCUAACUUCGUGCCAGCAGCCGCGGUAAUACGAAGGGGGCUAGCGUUGCUCGGAAUUACUGGGCGUAAAGGGCGCGUAGGCGGACAGUUUAGUCAGAGGUGAAAGCCCAGGGCUCAACCUUGGAAUUGCCUUUGAUAGUGGCUGUCUUGAGUACGGGAGAGGUGAGUGGAACUCCGAGUGUAGAGGUGAAAUUCGUAGAUAUUCGGAAGAACACCAGUGGCGAAGGCGACUCACUGGCCCGUUACUGACGCUGAGGCGCGAAAGCGUGGGGAGCAAACAGGAUUAGAAACCCUUGUAGUCC